UACGUAGGGGGCAAGCGUUGUCCGGAUUUAUUGGGCGUAAAGAGCGUGUAGGCGGCUAGGUAGGUCGGCUGUGAAAACUCGAGGCUCAACCUCGAGAUGUCGGCCGAAACCAUCUGGCUAGAGUCCGGAAGAGGAGAGUGGAAUUCCCGGUGUAGCGGUGAAAUGCGCAGAUAUCGGGAGGAACACCGGUGGCGAAGGCGGUUCUCUGGGCCUUACCUGACGCUGAGGAGCGAAAGCGUGGGGAGCGAACAGG
rnacentral:rRNA from 1 species